UACGUAGGCAGCAAGCGUUGUUCGGAGUUACUGGGCGUAAAGGGUGCGUAGGCGGCUAUUUAAGUUUGGUGUGAAAUCUCCCGGCUCAACCGGGAGGGUGCGCCGAAUACUGAGUGGCUAGAGUGCGGGAGAGGAAAGUGGAAUUCCUGGUGUAGCGGUGAAAUGCGUAGAUAUCAGGAGGAACACCGGUGGUGUAAACGGCUUUCCUGGGACCGUAACUGACGCUGAGGCACGAAAGCGUGGGUAGCAAACAGG
rnacentral:rRNA from 1 species